GUAAGGAGUUGGUGGCACGCUCCAGUGACUUUCUCGACAGUCAAUUGAGCUUUCGUGAACGCCUGGCGGUGCGCAGCCACCUGGCCAUGUGCCGGCACUGCCGGCGCUUCAUCAGGCAGAUGCGCGUGACCCAGCGGGUGCUGCGGGCCCUGCCGGAAGCGGCGAUUCCCGAGCUGGAGGCGCUGGCCGCACGGCUGGCCGAACAGCGCCGGCUGCAGCGCUGAUAGCGCACGCCCAGGUUAUUUGCCGUCGUCGAUCGCGUCGGCCGGCA
rnacentral:sRNA from 1 species